CUAGUUUUAGCAACAUGUCAUUUUCCAUUAAGUCGGGUAUCUUUAAUUGCUUGCUUUUUCUCAGAUGGAGCAGAUGGCUUUAGCACAAUUUUUUCUCCUUGAAGACAUGAUAGGCAUCACAUUAUGGACUUAGUCAGGGAUCUUAACAUUGAUCCUUUUCUUUAACCAUCUGGUAUCUGGUACCACUAGCCCGACAAAUCCAGAUUUACGUCACAUAAGGCCCAUUAAAAGGAGAGGCGCUCCCAAGCAGGAGUUUCUCCAUUCCCAUGGCUCGAACUUACGACCUUCGGGUAAGGGGGAGGUAUCCUUCCCCACUAUAUCCUUUGGUGGUAUCUUGAUAUUGAUUCACAAAUCAGUUCCAUUAAUUGAUAGAUGUCAAAUAAUCAGUAAACCGAUAGCAAAGACAAUUGACACAUUCACAUAUUUUGUGCUAGGCUGAUGCAAACUCAACUUUUACUUGCAGAAAAACUCAAAGUUAUCCCUCAGCAUUCAGUUUAGUAUAUUAUGGUGAUUUCAAGGGAAUUCACA
rnacentral:lncRNA from 1 species